AGUGAACGCUGGCGGUAGGCCUAACACAUGCAAGUCGAACGGCAGCACAGUAAGAGCUUGCUCUUACGGGUGGCGAGUGGCGGACGGGUGAGGAAUACAUCGGAAUCUACUUUUUCGUGGGGGAUAACGUAGGGAAACUUACGCUAAUACCGCAUACGACCUACGGGUGAAAGCAGGGGAUCUUCGGACCUUGCGCGAUUGAAUGAGCCGAUGUCGGGUUAGCUAGUUGGCGGGGUAAAGGCCCACCAAGGCGACGAUCCGUAGCUGGUCUGAGAGGAUGAUCAGCCACACUGGAACUGAGACACGGUCCAGACUCCUACGGGAGGCAGCAGUGGGGAAUAUUGGACAAUGGGCGCAAGCCUGAUCCAGCCAUACCGCGUGGGUGAAGAAGGCCUUCGGGUUGUAAAGCCCUUUUGUUGGGAAAGAAAAGCAGCAGGUUAAUACCCCGCUGUUCUGACGGGACCCAAAGAAUAAGCACCGGCUAACUUCGU
rnacentral:rRNA from 1 species